CCACACCGCUGCUAAAUCCUGCACUCUGAUUGGUCAGAAGGUGUUGAUUAAUUCUCUAUAACAAUAGUGCAGGUGUACAUUAAUGCAAUCAUUCUAACAGUUAUCGUUUCUAUAUCAACAGCUCAUUCACAGGAGCUCAUACAGUGGAUGGUCGUGUGUGUGUGUGUGUUUGCACAGUUUGAAUAGAUUACACACUUAUCACUUCUGUUUACACACACUGAUCCACACAUUACACAGUCAUAAACCUCCUCAAACAAUCCGACAGGCGUUAUAACACCUUUAUACACCUUCAUACACGUGAUGGAGAAGGACCGGAUAUGGCACAAUGACGUCACAAACACAAAAAUGAACGAAAAAUACCACCACACGAAACGAACACAUGAGCAUCCUCUAACCCAGUACGCUCCCUUUAAGUCCCUUUAGCUUAGCACAGCUAACACUGUUUAUUAUCUAAUAUUAGCAUUUACCUCAAACUAUUUCUAUACUAAAAGUACUCACUCACUCUCUCUCUCUUUAAAAACAACACUAUUUAAAUAAAACAAUAAAAGUCCUCUCUUACGCAGUGCACGAAAAUUUAUUAAAGCAAAAAGUAAACAAACAAAAAAUAAAACAUUAUAGAUGAUGAUGAUUCUUAUUAUUACUAUUAUGAGCAGCGUCGCUAAUUAGAAUAACGAGUACAACUAGCAUAACUAGCUUAAAGAACCUCAAGGAGCUGGUUAGCUAAGUUAGCUAGUUUAGGCUAAAUAAUGGAGAGAAAAAAAUUUAAAAUGAAAGCCGCUCAAUGCUAGCAGCCUUAGCGCUAACUUUUUACAUUAAGCAGAAACAUAUCGUUACUAUUUAUUUAUAAAAGUAAUCUUUAAAAUACACCUAGAAGUUUUUUUUUUUUUUUUUUAAACUUUAUUAUUUUCUAGCUAAAUAUUAAACAAAGCGAUAUAGCAUCGAAAUGCAGAGUCUCAGCUGAAGUCGAACAAAAGUGUAACACUGGCGGGGGCCAACAGAGAAUAAAACAAUGUUUUCAGCGCGUAUCUACUGGCAGUGACGACUCAGUUUAAAAGAAUGAUUAUUUGGACCGUUUCACGUCAAUAACAUUCGAGCUGAAAUUUGAAAAAGUGAAAUAUAUGCUUUUGAACUGGGAGGCAGAAUUAUAGAGCACCCCUUCCUGUCAAAACUUUAUGGUACGGUCGAGAAUGUGAACGCGGAGGGAAAAAAGUAACGGGUGUUCCUAACAGCCAGGCGCGUGCACGAG
ensembl:lncRNA